UGGGGUCUGGCGGAAGAGGUGUGGACUGAAGGGCUCCUCCCUUCUCGGGACACUUCCUGGGCGCCAUGCUGUGAGUCGCUUUCCUCCACUAGGCCCUGCCGCGGUGCCUGCCUUCCUUCCUUGGAGCUCCACCAGUCAUGAACCAAAACAGACCUCUCCGCCCUAAGUCCUGGGUGUCUGGUAUUGUGUCUUGGUGAUGAGAAAGUGGCUAAGCCAACCCCGUCUUCGGAUUUUGGCGCAGUCUCCCUCCGCAGAGCCGCCUCGUGGCAGUUCAGGGUUUUUAUUCCAAGCGGCAGACUCAGCCCUAGCUGGCCCAAACACACGGCAGGACUUCUCAGCUCCUGUCCAGACAUGUGUGCCUUCAGGAAGCUGUGGUCAGCACCUGGCUGCAGUUCAGUGAUGGCUCGGUGACGCCCCUGGACAUCUACGACAGCAAGGACUUCUCCCUCGCCGCCAGCUCCCUGGACGAGGCUGUUGUGUCCGUGUCCCAGCCGCACUCUCCGCACUGGCCCAUCGUGGUGGCUGAGGGGACCGGCCAGGGCCCGCUGGUCCGCGUGGACAUGAGCAUCGCCGAGUCCUGCCAGAAAUCCAAGCGCAGAAGUGUGCUGGCUGUGGGCUUUGGUAAUGUCAGGGUCAAGUUCGGACAGAGCAAUGUGGAUGCCGGGACGGGGGCCACUGAGGAGGAGGAGGAGCAGGCAGGGGCAGAGAGCGAGAACCGCAGCAGCGACCGCAGGCAGAAGGGCCUGGAGGGGCCGCCACAGAGUGGCUCUGCUGGGGAACUCAAGGAAGGGGCUCUGUGGAGGGCCGGCUCCAGGGCCAAGGCACAGCCGGAGGGUAAGGCGGUGCAAAACAGCCACCCAUCAGGGGAUGAGCUGCCACACACCAUCCCGCUGGACUUCUCCAACUUCCCAGGGCACCUGGGCCUCCCAGGGGCUGGGGCUGGGCUGCAGGGUGGCGGCCUAGUACCCACAGCACGAGGCCUGAGUGACCUGGAGAUCGGCAUGUACGCGCUGCUGGGCGUCUUCUGCCUGGCCAUCCUUGUCUUCCUCAUCAACUGUGCCACUUUUGCCCUAAAGUUCCGGCGCAAGCAGGUGCCGCUCGAGGGCCAGGCCUCUGUAACGCACUUGCACGACUGGGUGUGGCUGGGCAAUGAGGCUGAGCUGCUGGAGAGCAUGGGGAACCCCACAUCGCCCCCCGAGGAGCACACCACAGCCAUAGACCACGGCCCGGGGCACUGCAGGGAGAGCGAGCUGCUGCUCGUGGGCAGGGCCGGUGCCCAGCAGCAGGUGCCCGGCCAGGUGCACUGGGCUGUAGGUGGCGGGGCCCAGCAGGAGCCGCACCCACUGGCCUCCCAGAGGAAGAGGGUCCAGUUCGCCACCUUCCCGGCCAUCCCAGUCCCGCCGGUGGGCGGCUCUGCCGUGGCCACCUCCAUUCUGGGGGUGCACUAAGGUGGUGUGUCCCCCAAGAGCUCAGACUCUCUGGAAAGGUGCCCAGAGCCUUGAGAACCCUCAGCGGGUCCAGGGCAGAGGCCAGGGCGGGGCCACAGCUGUGGAUGCCGGCAUGGCACCUUCAUAGGACACUUUGCAAAGCAGCAUCCUUGGAUAUCGGGUGCGGACAGAGAUGGGGUGCAGAGACGCUGUGCCCCACACAGCAAAUUAGGAGGGGCAUUUUACGAAUCAACCUGUCAUACAGCUACCAAAAAUUAUUUGUUAAAAAACACAAAAAAAGACGAAUAAAAAGAGACAAAGAAUGAUUUGUUUAUAUUUCUAAUAAAGGAGC
rnacentral:lncRNA from 1 species